rnacentral:rRNA from 1 species
UCAAAUGGGGUGGUAAAUUCCAUCUAAAGCUAAAUAUGGGCCAGAGACCGAUAGCGCACAAGUAGAGUGAUCGAAAGAUGAAAAGCACUUUGAAAAGAGAGUUAAACAGUAUGUGAAAUUGUUGAAAGGGAAGCGCUGGCGACCAGACCUGCGGGUGACGGUUCCCCCGGCCCUCGUGGCCGGGCUACUCCGUCACCUCCAGGCCAGCAUCGGUCCGGGUGGUCGGUGAAAGACCCCGGGAACGUAUCCACCUCCGGGUCGACUUACAGCCCGGGGUGCCAUGCGGCCCACCCGGACCGAGGGACGCGCUCCGGCACGGAUGUUGGCGUAAUGGUUGUCAGCGGCCCGUCUUGAAACACGGACCAAGGAGUCUAACAUCCAUGCGAGUGUUUGGGUGUCAAACCCGGGCGCGGAAUGAAAGUGAACGGAGGUGAGAACCCCGCCGAGGGGCGCAUCAUCGACCGAUCCCGAUGUCUUCGGAUGGAUUUGAGUAAGAGCAUGGCUGUUGGGACCCGAAAGAUGGUGAACUAUGCCCGGAUAGGGUGAAGCCAGAGGAAACUCUGGUGGAGGCUCGCAGCGGUUCUGACGUGCAAAUCGAUCGUCAAAUCUGGGUAUAGGGGCGAAAGACCAAUCGAACCAUCUGGUAGCUGGUUCCUGCCGAAGUUUCCCUCAGGAUAGCAGUAACGGAUUCCAGUUUUAUGAGGUAAAGCGAAUGAUUAGAGGCCUUGGGGUUGAAACAACCAUGCCCGGAUAGGGUGAAGCCAGAGGAAACUCUGGUGGAGGCUCGCAGCGGUUCUGACGUGCAAAUCGAUCGUCAAAUCUGGGUAUAGGGGCGAAAGACCAAUCGAACCAUCUGGUAGCUGGUUCCUGCCGAAGUUUCCCUCAGGAUAGCAGUAACGGAUUCCAGUUUUAUGAGGUAAAGCGAAUGAUUAGAGGCCUUGGGGUUGAAACAAC